rnacentral:rRNA from 1 species
AGCUUGCUACCUGACCUAGCGGCGGACGGGUGAGUAAUGCUUAGGAAUCUGCCUAUUAGUGGGGGACAACAUUCCGAAAGGAAUGCUAAUACCGCAUACGCCCUACGGGGGAAAGCAGGGGAUCUUCGGACCUUGCGCUAAUAGAUGAGCCUAAGUCAGAUUAGCUAGUUGGUGGGGUAAAGGCCUACCAAGGCGACGAUCUGUAGCGGGUCUGAGAGGAUGAUCCGCCACACUGGGACUGAGACACGGCCCAGACUCCUACGGGAGGCAGCAGUGGGGAAUAUUGGACAAUGGGCGAAAGCCUGAUCCAGCCAUGCCGCGUGUGUGAAGAAGGCCUUUUGGUUGUAAAGCACUUUAAGCGAGGAGGAGGCUACUUGGAUUAAUACUCUAGGAUAGUGGACGUUACUCGCAGAAUAAGCACCGGCUAACUCUGUGCCAGCAGCCGCGGUAAUACAGAGGGUGCGAGCGUUAAUCGGAUUUACUGGGCGUAAAGCGUGCGUAGGCGGCUUUUUAAGUCGGAUGUGAAAUCCCUGAGCUUAACUUAGGAAUUGCAUUCGAUACUGGGAAGCUAGAGUAUGGGAGAGGAUGGUAGAAUUCCAGGUGUAGCGGUGAAAUGCGUAGAGAUCUGGAGGAAUACCGAUGGCGAAGGCAGCCAUCUGGCCUAAUACUGACGCUGAGGUACGAAAGCAUGGGGAGCAAACAGGAUUAGAUACCCUGGUAGUCCAUGCCGUAAACGAUGUCUACUAGCCGUUGGGGCCUUUGAGGCUUUAGUGGCGCAGCUAACGCGAUAAGUAGACCGCCUGGGGAGUACGGUCGCAAGACUAAAACUCAAAUGAAUUGACGGGGGCCCGCACAAGCGGUGGAGCAUGUGGUUUAAUUCGAUGCAACGCGAAGAACCUUACCUGGUCUUGACAUAGUAAGAACUUUCCAGAGAUGGAUUGGUGCCUUCGGGAACUUACAUACAGGUGCUGCAUGGCUGUCGUCAGCUCGUGUCGUGAGAUGUUGGGUUAAGUCCCGCAACGAGCGCAACCCUUUUCCUUAUUUGCCAGCGGGUUAAGCCGGGAACUUUAAGGAUACUGCCAGUGACAAACUGGAGGAAGGCGGGGACGACGUCAAGUCAUCAUGGCCCUUACGACCAGGGCUACACACGUGCUACAAUGGUCGGUACAAAGGGUUGCUACCUAGCGAUAGGAUGCUAAUCUCAAAAAGCCGAUCGUAGUCCGGAUUGGAGUCUGCAACUCG